rnacentral:rRNA from 1 species
AGCGAACGCUGGCGGCAGGCUUAACACAUGCAAGUCGAACGGGCGUAGCAAUACGUCAGUGGCAGACGGGUGAGUAACGCGUGGGAACGUACCUUUUGGUUCGGAACAACCCAGGGGAAACUUGGGCUAAAUACCGGAUAAGCCCUUACGGGGAAAGAUUUAUCGCCGAAAGAUCGGCCCGCGUCUGAUUAGCUAGUUGGUGUGGUAACGGCGCACCAAGGGCGACGAUCAGUAGCUGGUCUGAGAGGAUGAUCAGCCACAUUGGGGACUGAGACACGGCCCAAACUCCUACGGGAGGGCAGCAGUGGGGAAUAUUGGACAAUGGGCGCAAGCCUGAUCCAGCCAUGCCGCGUGAGUGAUGAAGGCCCUAGGGUUGUAAAGCUCUUUUGUGCGGAAGAUAAUGACGGUACCGCAAGAAUAAGCCCCGGCUAACUUCGUGCCAGCAGCA